CUUAAAUCAGACAGUUACAGAAUUCAAACAACUGAUUUCAAAGGCCAUCCAUUUACCUGCUGAAACAAUGAGAAUAGUGCUGGAACGCUGCUACAAUGAUUUGCGUCUUCUCAGUGUCUCCAGUAAAACCCUGAAAGCUGAAGGAUUUUUUAGAAGUAACAAGGUGUUUGUUGAAAGCUCCGAGACUUUGGAUUACCAGAUGGCCUUUGCAGAGUCUCAUUUAUGGAAACUCCUGGAUCGGCAUGCAAAUACAAUCAGAUUGUUUGUUUUGCUACCUGAACAAUCCCCAGGAUCUUAUUCCAAAAGGACAGCAUACCAGAAAGCUGGAGGCGAUUCUGGUAAUGUGGAUGAUGACUGUGAAAGAGUCAAAGGACCUGUAGGAAGCCUAAAGUCUGUGGAAGCUAUUCUAGAAGAAAGCACUGAAAAACUCAAAAGCUUGUCACUGCAGCAACAGCAGGAUGGAGAUAAUGGGGACAGCAGCAAAAGUACUGAGACAAGUGACUUUGAAAACAUCGAAUCACCUCUCAAUGAGAGGGACUCUUCAGCAUCAGUGGAUAAUAGAGAACUUGAACAGCAUAUUCAGACUUCUGAUCCAGAAAAUUUUCAGUCUGAAGAACGAUCAGACUCAGAUGUGAAUAAUGACAGGAGUACAAGUUCAGUGGACAGUGAUAUUCUUAGCUCCAGUCAUAGCAGUGAUACUUUGUGCAAUGCAGACAAUGCUCAGAUCCCUUUGGCUAAUGGACUUGACUCUCACAGUAUCACAAGUAGUAGAAGAACGAAAGCAAAUGAAGGGAAAAAAGAAACAUGGGAUACAGCAGAAGAAGACUCUGGAACUGAUAGUGAAUAUGAUGAGAGUGGCAAGAGUAGGGGAGAAAUGCAGUACAUGUAUUUCAAAGCUGAACCUUAUGCUGCAGAUGAAGGUUCUGGGGAAGGAUAUAAAUGUAUGUACUUCAAAAGAAAAAUGGUCCUUGAAACAGC
rnacentral:sRNA from 1 species